AUUGAACGCUGGCGGCAGGCUUAACACAUGCAAGUCGAGCGGGGAAGGUAGCUUGCUACCGGACCUAGCGGCGGACGGGUGAGUAAUGCUUAGGAAUCUGCCUAUUAGUGGGGGACAACAUCUCGAAAGGGAUGCUAAUACCGCAUACGUCCUACGGGAGAAAGCAGCGGAUCUUCGGACCUUGCGCUAAUAGAUGAGCCUAAGUCGGAUUAGCGAGUUGGUGGGGUAAAGGCCUACCAAGGCGACGAUCUGUAGCGGGUCUGAGAGGAUGAUCCGCCACACUGGGACUGAGACACGGCCCAGACUCCUACGGGAGGCAGCAGUGGGGAAUAUUGGACAAUGGGGGGAACCCUGAUCCAGCCAUGCCGCGUGUGUGAAGAAGGCCUUAUGGUUGUAAAGCACUUUAAGCGAGGAGGAGGCUACUCUAGUUAAUACCUAGGGAUAGUGGACGUUACUCGCAGAAUAAGCACCGGCUAACUCUGUGCCAGCAGCCGCCGUAA
rnacentral:rRNA from 1 species